rnacentral:rRNA from 1 species
AACGAACGCUGGCGGCGCGCCUAACACAUGCAAGUCGAACGAGAAGGCGUAGCAAUACGCUUGUAAAGUGGCGAACGGGUGAGGAAUACGUGGGUAACCUACCCUCGAGUGGGGAAUAACCAACCGAAAGGUUGGCUAAUGCCGCGUACGCUUCCAUCUCUUCGGAGGUGGAAGGAAAGCUGUACCGUGGGUACAGCGCUCAAGGAUGGGCUCACGUCCUAUCAGCUUGUUGGUAGGGUAACGGCCACCAAGGCAACGACGGGUAGCUGGUCUGAGAGGACGAUCAGCCACACUGGCACUGCGACACGGGCCAGACUCCUACGGGAGGCAGCAGUGAGGAAUAUUGCGCAAUGGGCGAAAGCCUGACGCAGCGAC